rnacentral:tRNA from 1 species
UAGCUCAGUUGGUAGAGUACUUGCCUCACAUGCACAAGGCCCUGGGUUCAAUCCCCAG